rnacentral:rRNA from 1 species
AGUCCAAUCCAUACCAUCCCGAACCUGACCAAUCCUGUCUGAUCUUAGAAGCAAAACAGAACUGGGCCUGGUUAGCAGGUGGGUGGGGGGA